rnacentral:rRNA from 1 species
UGUAGUAAUACAAGACAGACGGCUCAGUAACGCGUAGUCAACCUACCCUAUGGACGGGGAUAACCUCGGGAAACUGAGAAUAAUACCCGAUAGAACAUUAUGCCUGGAAUGGUUUAUGUUUCAAAUAAUUUAUUGCCGUAGGAUGGGACUGCGGCCUAUCAGUUUGUUGGCGAGGUAAUGGCCCACCAAGACUAUUACAGGUACGGGCUCUGAGAGGAGUAGCCCGGAAAUGGGUACUGAGACACGGACCCAGGCCCUAUGGGGCGCAGCAGGCGAGAAAACUUUGCAAUGUGCGAAAGCACGACAAGGUUAAUCCGAGUGGUUUCUGCUAAAGGAACCUUUUGUCAGUCCUAGAAACACUGAUGAAUAAGGGGUGGGCAAGUUCUGGUGUCAGCCGCCGCGGUAAAACCAGCACCUCAAGUGGUCAGGAUGAUUAUUGGGCCUAAAGCAUCCGUAGCCUGCUUUGUUAGUUUUCGGUUAAAUCCAUACGCUCAACGUAUGGGCUGCCGGGAAUACUGCAAAGCUAGGGAGUGGGAGAGGUAGACGGUACUCGGUAGGAAGGGGUAAAAUCCUUUGAUCUAUUGAUGACCACCUGUGGCGAAGGCGGUCUACCAGAACACGUCCGACGGUGAGGGAUGAAAGCUGGGGGAGCAAACCGGAUUAGAUACCCGGGUAGUCCCAGCUGUAAACUAUGCAAACUCAGUGAUGCAUUGGCUUGAUGCCAAUGCAGUGCUGCAGGGAAGCCGUUAAGUUUGCCGCCUGGGAAGUACGUACGCAAGUAUGAAACUUAAAGGAAUUGGCGGGGGAGCACCACAAGGGGUGAAGCCUGCGGUUCAAUUGGA